AUUGAACGCUGGCGGCAGGCUUAACACAUGCAAGUCGAGCGGGGGAAGGUAGCUUGCUACCGGACCUAGCGGCGGACGGGUGAGUAAUGCUUAGGAAUCUGCCUAUUAGUGGGGGACAACAUCUCGAAAGGGAUGCUAAUACCGCAUACGUCCUACGGGAGAAAGCAGGGGAUCUUCGGACCUUGCGCUAAUAGAUGAGCCUAAGUCGGAUUAGCUAGUUGGUGGGGUAAAGGCCUACCAAGGCGACGAUCUGUAGCGGGUCUGAGAGGAUGACCCGCCACACUGGGACUGAGACACGGCCCAGACUCCUACGGGAGGCAGCAGUGGGGAAUAUUGGACAAUGGGGGGAACCCUGAUUCAGCCAUGCCGCGUGUGUGAAGAAGGCCUUAUGGUUGUAAAGCACUUUAAGCGAGGAGGAGGCUACUUUAGUUAAUACCUUGCUGUUUUGACGUUACCGACAGAAUAAGCACCGGCUAACUUCGUGCCAGCCGCCGCGGUAA
rnacentral:rRNA from 1 species